UAGGGAAUCUUCCGCAAUGGACGCAAGUCUGACGGAGCAACGCCGCGUAAGUGAAGAAGGAUUUCGGUUCGUAAAACUCUGUUGUUAGAGAAGAACAGCGCAUAGAGUAACUGUUAUGCGUGUGACGGUAUCUAACCAGAAAGCCACGGCUAACUACGUGCCAGCAGCCGCGGUAAUACGUAGGUGGCAAGCGUUGUCCGGAUUUAUUGGGCGUAAAGCGAGCGCAGGCAGUCAAUUAAGUCUGAUGUGAAAGCCCCCGGCUCAACCGGGGAGGGUCAUUGGAAACUGGUUGACUUGAGUGCAGAAGAGGAGAGUGGAAUUCCAUGUGUAGCGGUGAAAUGCGUAGAUAUAUGGAGGAACACCAGUGGCGAAGGCGACUCUCUGGUCUGUAACUGACGCUGAGGCUCGAAAGCGUGGGUAGCAAACAGG
rnacentral:rRNA from 1 species